rnacentral:lncRNA from 1 species
UGACGGUGAUGAUGGUGGAGAUGACGGUAAAGAUGGUGGAUGUGACUGUGAUGAUGGUGGAAGUGACGGUAAAGAUGGAGGUGACGGUAAAGAUGGUGGAGGUGACAGUAAAGAUGGUGGAGGUGACGGUAAAGAUGGUGGAAGUGAUGGUCAUGAUGGUGGAGAUGACGGUAAAGAUGGUGGAGGUGACGGUAAAGAUGGUGGAAGUGAUGGUAAAGAUGGUGGAGGUGAUGGUCAUGAUGGAGAUGACGGUAAAGAUGGUGGAGGUGACUGUGAUGAUGGUGGAAGUGAUGGUCAUGAUGGUGGAGAUGACGGUAAAGAUGGUGGAGGUGACGGUGAUGAUGGUGGUGUUGGUGAUGAUGGUGGUGUUGGUGAUGAUGGGAUGAAGGUAAUGGUGAUGACCUUCAUGAU